rnacentral:lncRNA from 1 species
AAUGAUAACUUGGCAGAAGAGGAGACAGGCUGCCAGGUUCUCCUCGGGUGGUUGCGUGACAUGGCUAAUUGCCUCAAGACUGAGAUCAAAUUCCACCUUGGCUGAAGAUGGCCCCACAGAAGGUCUUCACUUCCUGCUUCUCCACAGCAACCUCAGAUGGUGUGAAUGAAGAGCAGAAAACCAGUCAAUCGUGGUACUGAGAAUGGAGCUGCUCAGACACCUUCUACUUUUAAAGGCAGGAUGGGAUUCCCGAGGGUCACUCCUCUCUUCCUCUCUCUAUCCACCAGUCAAGAAAAUUGUGGUAGUCAUGGAGUUAGCAAGAAACUGUUGUUAGAGAAUUUGGUUACAGCAUAUGGGAUCUGAAGAAUAAGCCUGGAUGAACCAACCUCAGAAAGCUUCAACUUCCUGACCAGAGAAUUGACAUGUAAAAAGAAUGCUUGAUGCUGGCUGGGGUGAAAGCAUAACUGACUAGCGUCAUAGGUCCUUCAGAGGCCACUGGAAUUCACUGCUGUGUUCUGCACACCUCUGGAUUUCUAUAUAAAGGAAACUGGAGAGUCUGGAAAACAGCACACCUGAAAUCCCCUCUGACAGUCACAGGAUGCAGGAGAUCACACGAAGCCCUGGAACAUCCUGUAACGAAAGCUAUGAAACCCAUUGACUUCAGAAAUGUAUUUCCCAAGAAAUCUUUUGGAGGUAAAGCGUGCCUUAACAUCUGUCUGGAAACUACAGGUUGUUUUCAUGCUGUCAGAGACAGAGCCUUGGUGCUGGAUGGGUUUCAGGUGCAGAGUUGUCCCUUCACGAACUAGACCAUCAUAGGAAAUAAGUCCUGAGCCUUGAUCUUCCCUCAAUGGAUCCAUGUCACCGUUUCUAAAAUUCACCAUCCCCACAGCACUGUAAAAGGAAGGCACACAUGAAGUUCUGCCUUGGAAGCCAUCAGACAGACAACACACACUGCUCAGCAACACAGGAAAUCUGCUGCCGUGUUACCAUUGUGUUGUAUUUUAAGGAGAAAAAGAAAAUCACAGCACAAAAUCACGGCAGCACAAACCAGGUUUCUGAUAUUGAGAGAGAGAGAAAGCAGGGCUGGCCCCACUGUACUGUGUGCAACCAUGUCAACCAUUCUGGGAAACUCCUACAGUGAAGCUGGGUUUGCUUAUACCCACUCUGAUGAGUCUUUUAAACAGCCCCAUGUACUGCAGAUGGUCUUGAACUCACUGUGUAACUGAAGAUGACCACAAACUCCUGAUCCUACCUCCAGCACCCCAAGAACUCGUAUGUGAUGUCAUGCCUUGUUUAUUCAGCACUAAGGAUCAAUGCCAGAGCUUUGGGCACACCAUGAGAACUUUGGGCACGCCAUGAAGGCUUUGGGCACUCCAUGAGGACACUCCACAAACCAAGGCAAAUUCCCAGCAUGCUUUUCUGACCUUUAAACCUUGUUUUAUGUGCUUGCUGCGUGUUUCAAGGAGGAGCACAUGAUCUUCUUGCUCUGGAAAGGGCUGUGUACUUCUCCUCACUCUAGAUGAAGAGAUCAUCAACAAACUAAAGAAAGAAUUCCACUAGGCAUGGUGGCUCACAUCUUUAACCCCAGCACUCAGGAGGCAGAAGCGGGCAGAUCUCUGAGUUCGAGGCCAGGCUGGUCUGCAAUCAGAGUUCCAGAACAGUCAGGGCUACACAGAGAAACCCUGUCUUGGAAAAC